UAGUCAUAUGCUUGUUUCAAAGAUUAAGCCAUCCAGGUUUAAGUAUGAAUGUUAUCCAGUGAAACUGCGAAUGGUUCAUUAAAACAGUUAUAGUUUAUUUGAUAAUCAAAUUUCCAGGGAUAACCGUGGUAAUUCUAGAGUUAAUCCAUGCUGGUUACCCGGACUUUGAGGAAGGGCUGUAUUUAUUAGAUAACAAAUCAAUAUUCCUCGUGUUUAUUGUGACGACUCAUAAUAACUGAUCGAAUCGCAUGGACUUUGUCCGCGAUCCAUCAUUCAAGUUUCUGCCCCAUCAGCUUUGGAUGGUAGUGUAUUGGCCUACCAUGGCUUUAACGGGUAACGGAGGAGUUGGGUUCGAUUCCGGGGAGGGAGCNUGAGAAACGCCUACCACAUNNAAGGAAGCCAGCAGGCGAGUAAAUCACCCAAUCCU
rnacentral:rRNA from 1 species